rnacentral:rRNA from 1 species
AUUGAACGCUGGCGGCAGGCCUAACACAUGCAAGUCGAGCGGAUGAAGGGAGCUUGCUCCUGGAUCCAGCGGCGGACGGGUGAGUAAUGCCUAGGAAUCUGCCUGGUAGUGGGGGAUAACGUCCGGAAACGGGCGCUAAUACCGCAUACGUCCUGAGGGAGAAAGUGGGGGAUCUUCGGACCUCACGCUAUCAGAUGAGCCUAGGUCGGAUUAGCUAGUUGGUGGGGUAAAGGCCUACCAAGGCGACGAUCCGUAACUGGUCUGAGAGGAUGAUCAGUCACACUGGAACUGAGACACGGUCCAGACUCCUACGGGAGGCAGCAGUGGGGAAUAUUGGACAAUGGGCGAAAGCCUGAUCCAGCCAUGCCGCGUGUGUGAAGAAGGUCUUCGGAUUGUAAAGCACUUUAAGUUGGUAGGAAGGGCAGUAAGUUAAUACCUUGCUGUUUUGACGUUACCAACAGAAUAAGCACCGGCUAACUUCGUG